GUGGGAGUCAGGUAUGAACAGGAACUGGGAUUUAAGGGCCACACUUCAGAGGUAUCCCAGGACUCCUUUUUGCCAGAAUUAUGGGAAGAUAAUGUUGUGGGAUGUGAGUAGUGAAAUUUAGAAAAAGCAGAGAGUCCUACAAAACAUAUCCACAGGAAGACAAUUAAAGAGCAACUUACACCAAGUAGGUGAAACUCUAAUGCUUCUGAAACAGAUAAGGAAGAACACGGCAAAUUUUUACCAAAGCUAAGUAUUGAACAUGGAGAAAAAGUAAACUAGUUCUUAGGUAUAAAAAUAAAGGGCUACCGC
rnacentral:lncRNA from 1 species